rnacentral:lncRNA from 1 species
UCUGCACAGGAGCCCAUCCCUGGACUCCUAGCUCAGCCCACUCAGUGACCAGGACUGAACACAGCUGCUCACCAUGGAGAGUGUGCUCAGCUGGGUUUUCCUGGUGGCUGUUUUCAAAGGUGUCCAGUGUGAGGUGCAGCUGGUGGAGUCUGGGGGAGGCCUGGUGCAGCCUGGGGGUUCCCUGCGACUCUCCUGUGCUGCCUCUGGAUUCACCUUUAGUAGUUAUAAUAUGUACUGGGUCCGCCAGGCU